UAAGUUUUUGAUUAUCCUAUCUUCUUAGACUUGGCUGACAAGGACAUGAAGCAAAUUAAUGCUCUGUUUUGUGAGGUAAUUCAACUUAUUUGAUGUGGAUCUUGAGAUGAUUAUUGGGUCAUUCAAUUUUGUUUUAAUAACUUAAGCUAGUUAUAGAGUGCAAGCAAUGUGUUUUGCAAUAUUAUAUAGCUUAUUUUAUGGCACCUGACAUUAGUCAUAGGAUUGUUGAUUUUCAAAGUUCAAAUGAGAAAUUUGAUUUACUUUGUAGUUGUAUGGAGUGCUUGAUUUUGUUAAUAAAUGAAUUGUAGUCGAGCCUCAAAGCAAAUGAAGAAAUAAUAGAUUAUUCAUUUUAACUUGUGUUUGUUUGCCGAGUUGUGGUGAUUAUUGGAAUUGUUAGGCAGUUAUAAUCAACAAUUUGUGUGUUUCUUUUAGACAUAUAGAAAUGCUUAUAGUAAUUACAAGUUGUGGAUAAUGCUUAUAGCUUAAGGCCAAGGUUCUAUGGAUGUGAACUCCAACAUGACAUAUCUUAAUGUAAUUAUAUCGGUUGUUGUAACAGUGUUAACAAAAUUGGCAAAAAGAGGCUGACUUUUCCUUUCUCAUGUGACUUUUACUUUAGAAAGUGUUCAAGGAUAAUCUCGGACCAGAUUUCUCUAAGAUGUUUGGAGAGUUUGGAGAGAUAAUAGGUGGUCUAGUUAGGACCUCACAGGUGCAACAGAGUUUGUUAUUUUUUCUCUGCUCUGCGGCAGAUUUUCUGCUGUGUUAGACAGUAAUUUCAGCAGGUGUUUUGGUGGAGUUUGUGGCUGUCAAUAAUAACUCAUGGUCUAAUGGACAUAGAUAUUUGAGUUGUUUAUUUCUUUCUUUUACAAUAUCAUGUGUUGCAGAUCAUUAAAUCACAUAUGUGACUUUGCUUGGUAUCUUUUCACCAAGUUUAAUUUUUUGUGUUUAUGCAGUCAUCUAUAAAUAUAGACUUCUUUACAAAAUAUGAUCAAGGGAGUACAUUCACCCACUUCUAUUUUCUAGAUAGUAAGAAUCUUUUUUCCCUUGAAUACUCUCACCUUCUCAGGUCAUUCACCAAGUGAGUAGCUCUCAUUCUCAGGUCAUCUUGCUUAUGCCCAUUUGUUACUAAAUUUAUGAUUAACAUGCUUUUUUAUUUAUUUAUUUUUGUACAAGCAUGCUUUUUAUUUAAUAUUACACACUUUUUACUUUAUCACCAUGAAUUUACAAUUGUGUUUGAUUUGUUUAUUUUGUUUUUGGUCUCUAGCAGCCUUCAGAUUCUAAGGAUCUCGACUAUGACUUCACGUUGGACCAUCUUUCGACUAUCAAAGUAAUCAGAAAAGGGAGCAGUGAUGUAGUGCAACAUGUUCGCCAUAAGUGGGUUGUAAAAUUAUUUGCUUUAAAGAGCUUGUGUUUCACUAGAUGACGUGAAGGAGGAGUACGACUACCUAUAUGGCUGAAGAUGUUAUCAAUUAAUGAUGCAAAAAGGCGGCAAAAAUAAUAGUUGAUCAUUAAUUGGUAAGUUGUAUCUUAUAAAUAUUUUAUAAUCCAAAUAUAUUCUGAUCUGGCUGUUGUGCUUGGUAGAAAAUGUAGUUUGGUAUUGUGACACUAAAAUUUUAGAGUAAUGGGGAUAAUGAUAAUGUCCCCAAGGUCAUACUAUUUUUCCUGUUAAAAAGAUUAUUUUUAAAUGGGCUAUUGAAACACUAGAAUGAAUUAUGAGCAUGCUGAUGCACCAAACGAUGUAUUAUCAAGCAAAUGCCUAUAUACUUGAUUUUUUGUACAUCUAUAUAUAUAAUGACUAUGUUUUAUU